GGAAUCUUUCCCUUUGGUGUUACUUAGAAGCCCGAAGCUGAUGAUACAGUAAGUCUAGUUCGAAUUUUAAAAAAGCAUAUUUUAUAAGGUCCAGCAAUCUUGAUCCUUGCUAUCUGCUCAAGAUAUUGAAAAGCUGUGUCUUCACAAAUAAACUUGCUAAUGGACUUGGAAAAAACGUGCAUCACUAAGUGAAAGAAGCUCAUCCCAAAGGACCAUGUAUGAUCUGAUUUCAAUUGCAAGAUGUUCUGAAGAAAACAAAACUCACAGAGGCAGGAAGUAGUUGUGCAUGCAGCUGAGAAACAGAGUGCUAGCCUAGCACGUGUAAAACCUUGGGUUCCAUGAUAGUUUUCAUUGUCAGCUUGGUGAUAUUUCAUAAUACUUUGGAAACACAACCAUGGGUGUGUCUACAAGACAAUGAUCCUCAACUGUGUGUCAAGACAUCUUGGGGUGUUGAGUGUCCCUUUCAUGAGGUUGCACUUCAAAUACCAUACACAUCAGAUAUUUAUAAUUCAUAGCAGUAGCAAAAUUACAGUUAUGAAGUAGCAACAAAAAUAAUUUUGUGGUUGGGGUCACCACUGCAUGAGGUACUGUCUCAAAGGGUCUCAGUCUGAGAAGGGUUGAGAAUCACUGCUAUAAGGUAUCUCCAGAAGAGUUUAACAGAGCUGAGAAGACCUGCGCGGAGUGUUGAUGGCACCAGCUCAUGGGUGUGGUCCCCUAGACUGAAUUAAAAGGAGAAAGCAGUCGGGCAUGGUGACGCACACCUUUAAACCCAGCACU
rnacentral:lncRNA from 1 species